GGAAGUCCUGGACCGUCUGGUCCUCAGGGCCCACGAGGACUGACUGGACAAAAAGGAGCCAAAGGAGAAUCUGGUGAGAGUAUUGAGGGUAAACCAGGCACCCAAGGAAACACCGGAGACCCUGGUGAUCGGGGUCCCCGAGGACCUCCUGGGGAAAUUGGAAGUAAGGGUGAUCGAGGACAGACUGGACCACCUGGUUCAGAUGGAGCCAAGGGAGACAGAGGCCUUCCAGGUCAGGCAGGAGACAAG